CCUACGGGUGGCAGCAGUGAGGAAUAUUGGUCAAUGGACGCGAGUCUGAACCAGCCAUGCCGCGUGAAGGAAGACUGCCCUAUGAGUUGUAAACUUCUUUUGUACAAGAAUAAACUGAGGCACGUGUAUCUUUCUGUAUGUACUUUAUGAAUAAGGAUCGGCUAACUCCGUGCCAACAGCCGCGGUAAUACGGAGGAUCCGAGCGUUAUCCGGAUUUAUUGGGUUUAAAGGGAGCGUAGGUGGUUUGUUAAGUCAGUUGUGAAAGUUUGCGGCUCAACCGUAAAAUUGCAGUUGAUACUGGCAGCCUAGAGUGUAGUUGAGGUAGGCGGAAUGCGUGGUGUAGCGGUGAAAUGCUUAGAGAUCAUGCAGAACACCGAUUGCGAAGGCAGCUUACUAAGCUGCCACUGACAUUGAUGCACGAAAGUGUGGGGAGCAAACAGGAUUAGAUACCCUUGUAGUC
rnacentral:rRNA from 1 species